rnacentral:rRNA from 1 species
AGGGACGUGCCGGUGUCAAACCGGAGGAAGUGGGGAUGACGUCAAGUCCUCAUUGGCCUUUAUGUCUAGGGCUACACACGUACUACAAUGGCCGGUACAAAGGGCAGCCACUCAGCGAUGAGGCGCUAAUCCCAUAAAGCCGGUCUCAGUCCGGAUCGCAGUCUGCAACUCGACUGCGUGAAGUUGGAAUCGCUAGUAAUCGUAGAUCAGCAUGCUACGGUGAAUACGUUCCCGGGCCUU